UGCAAGUCGAACGGGGCAGUAGCAAUAUUGUUCAGUGGCGAACGGGUGCGUAACACGUGGAUACCUACCGUGAAGUGGGGGAAUAGCCCAGGGAAACUUUGGAUUAAUACCGCAUAGUAUCGAAGGAUUAAAGGCAGGGACCGCAAGGCCUGCCGCUUUUAUGAUGGGUCCGCGGCCUAUCAGCUAGUUGGUGAGGUAAAGGCUCACCAAGGCUACGACGGGUAGCUGGUCUGAGAGGAUGAUCAGCCACACUGGAACUGAGACACGGUCCAGAACACCUACGGGUGGCAGCAGUCGAGAAUCUUUCACAAUGGGGGAAACCCUGAUGGAGCGACGCCGCGUGGAGGCUAAGGUCUUCGGAUUGUAAACUCCUGUCAUGCGAGAGCAAUGUUUAUGGGUUAAUAGCCUGUGAAAGUGAUAGUAUCGCAAGAGGAAGAGACGGCUAACUCUGUGCCAGCAGCCGCGGUAAUACAGAGGUCUCAAGCGUUGUUCGGAAUCACUGGGCGUAAAGGGUGUGUAGGCCGCGAAUUAAGUCAGAUGUGAAAACUUUGGGCUCAACCCAAAGCAUGCAU
rnacentral:rRNA from 1 species